UCUAGUCUCAGAUUCUAGUUGUACAGAAGGCAUUGGAAUCGCUUUAAGUUAGUGCGUCCAUGAUCCACCCCGUUUUCAGCCUCCAACACUGUGUUUCAGUUGAUUAAGGAGAAGAUUAGAAACUUUUGACGGAACUGAAGUUCAACAGGUUGUUGAGGGCAGGAGGACACACAAUCAGAAGGGCAGAUUCGUAAGCGGUGGGCGAAGUGUUCACAAUGAUCAGUAAGGCGAACUAAUUGGCAAAUACCGUAUUGCUCAAAUUGUUUCUGCGUGGUGGAAAUAUCGGGGAUGGUCUCUUGAGAUUUGAUAUGACAGUAACCGUUGCUCGGAGAAUGAGACUUGGUAAGUUUGUGGGGGAUCGAUGGCAUACGUGAUAUGUUGGAAUAAGAUUGAUCACUGUAUUGGGAGAAAUAUUCAGUUUAGUACACUAAUCUAGAGUAUAGAAUACUAUCCAUCAAUUGUGACCUUACACCAAGAAAUGUGACUCUUGGUGGUGUCACUCUUGUACACACAAUGUACAAUGUACUGUGUGAGAAUUGGUCAUAUUAAUAUAUAAAAAAUAUUUCCAACAUGGUAUCAUAGCCAUAGAAAUAUUUGAUCUUUAGAAAGCUCUAGAGAAUGCUUUACCUAGAAAAGAAUUGCUAAAAAUAAAAACUAGAUUGUAAUGACAACAAU
rnacentral:lncRNA from 1 species